UUGCUCAUUCAUUUAACAGCUGUACCAACGAGGAAGAUUUGAUUAAUUGUACAAUUAAUUCUACAAUUAAACAAAUUGUAGCACUUAGAUUGUACUUGUAACGCCACUUAUCUAUAGCAAAUUGUAAAUUGGCUUAUUUGAUGAAAUUGGCGUCAGCUACAUGACAUGUAUUGUAAUGUAAUAUGUCUGACCAAACCCAAGCAUUUUUUAAAAACAAUAUCAAAUAAAAGAUCAUUAACAAUAGUCCCACAAUCUGAAUCUCUGACUGAGUUUUACAACUUUUUUGAUUGUCUAUUUCCUUUCUUAUUUUAAAAUUCCAUGCUGAUGUUCUUUUUUUGUGACUUUGCUUUUUAGAUUAGCCUGCUCUGAGCAGGCUAAUCUUUGAGUUUUGAGUUGUCCUUGUCCAAUUAUAGUAGUACUUGUACCCCAUUUGUGACAAGACUUUGUAUAUUCAUCAGAGGAAAAUGUUACUGAUUAUAAUUAUUUGAGAAAGUAAUCAAACAGUAAUGUAAAUAGUAAUUAAAAUAGUUACUAAUUAAAAAUAUUCUUAGUAAUAUAACAAUUACUAACAAAAGUCAUUAAUGGACCAAUAAUUACGAUCCAAUAAUUAUGAUCCAAUAAUGUAAUAAAUAUUACUCUGCAGCUCCACAAACCUCUCCUCUGAGAACCCGUUCAAUUUGUACCCGAGUUGUUUAUAUUCUCUGCACCAAUCAGCGCUGCGCUUGAGCGCAUGCGCGCAUUUUUUUAAAAUUUCAAACUGUCCAAUCAGAGAAGAGGAGGCGUGACCACCCGGCAGUUUCAAAACCGGAUGCGCGGUUUCAGUUGUUAUGGAGCUAACGUUACUUUAACCUGCCAAACAAACACAAAUAGUCGAUUUAUAACAAACAAUCUAUCCUAGAAAAUAGAGCUGUUGUCUGAUAGUCAUGGAGGAAAAAGAAAUCGUUACGAAGGUCUCCCGAAAAGAGUUGCGUAAGCAAAAGUUGAUGGAAUACUUGUCAGCAAAAGGAAAGUGGAAACCGCCCAACCCAAAGCCAUACCUACGCGACGACUGUCUGGUUAAGAAGCCCGUGCCGUCUGCACUGGAGGUGGUUUCGGACAAAGAGAACAAGGUUCCAGCUGACAGAUUCACACAUGAGAGCACAAAAAUUCAAACUCAAAAAAGAUUUAGUGACUCGCGCAAAGUGAGCGUAUCGGCCAACAAUCUGACUGGACGGCACGGUGCCAAACAACCGUCUACAACCGGUAGCUCUGCCCAACGUUGUCAAAAUCAUCUGCCGACAAGAACGGCGACAGCUUUGUCCUCUGGAUCCAACCCGACUGCAGCGAGUCAUCUCCAGAAGCGCCCAAACACGGGGGCAAAGAACGGGCACCCAAUACCGUCUUCCGGCAGAGCCUCUUCAAAUGCAUCUGGUGCAGCUGCAACCAAAUCAAACAGCAGACUCAUCAGUAGCUCGAAGGCUUCGUGGCCUCGUCCAAUGACGGCGGUCAGUGUCAGGAUGAGUCUCGGCCCCAUGGUCAAAACAAAAACGGGACUAGUUCCUGCGGCGAUUCAGCCCAGUGACGUUCAAAGGCACAGAAACUUUACGCACACCUCGGCCACAGCGGCCGAUACAACCACCAAAAAGAUGCAAUCCAGCACGCGGGCGUCCGUCUCUGUGUCCCAGAAGUUCACCGUGACUCAGAGCAAACCGCUACGAACCACUUCCCUUAACAAUAACCAGGGGGCAAAAGUUAAAGUUCAAAAUCAGGGCAAAUGCAACUCUAAACCACUGCUGAGUAGAGCGUCUCGGCCCCCGUCUAAGAUUCCACCAUCAAGUGGUCCGAGGUCCACGGCGGCCCCGUUGAAGCCACAAGGCGGCGGGGCGGCGGCAGCCGGUCGGCCCGCAGGAAGGUCCACAACGCACACAUCUGCCAUUGCGGGGCAGAAAAAGAGGCAACCAAGCCAGGUCGCCCCCCAAACAUCGUCCCGGCCAGCGAGCGGGUGCGGUUCCAGAGCGGCCGGCG
ensembl:lncRNA